UACGUAGGCAGCGAGCGUUGUUCGGAAUUAUUGGGCGUAAAGAGUGUGUAGGCGGUGCUCCAAGUCUGUUGUGAAAUCUCCCGGCUUAACUGGGAGGGUGCGGCGGAAACUGGAAUGCUAGAGGGUGGGAGAGGUAAGCGGAAUUCCUGGUGUAGCGGUGAAAUGCGUAGAUAUCAGGAGGAACACCUGUGGUGUAGACAGCUUACUGGACCACUUCUGACGCUGAGACACGAAAGCGUGGGGAGCAAACAGG
rnacentral:rRNA from 1 species